AGCUUUGCACAGUGGCAGUAUCGUAGCCAAUGAGGUUUAUCCAAGGCACGAUUACUGCUAACUGAUUUCUGAAAAAAUAGUCUUUAAAACAAAACAAAAUGUUACUAGGCAUAUAGAGGGACAUUUAAUAAUA
rfam:Ailuropoda melanoleuca scaffold233_64, whole genome shotgun sequence.